rnacentral:tRNA from 1 species
GGGGGGCUAGUCCAAAAAAGACCUCUGAUUUCGGCUCAGAAAAUUGUGGUUUAAGUCCACGGCCUCCUU